GCGAACGUGGCGGAAUUUGGUAGACGCGCGAGACUUAGGAUCUCGUGGGGGUCCUCCCCCGUGGGGGUUCGAGUCCCCCCGUUCGCACCA
rnacentral:tRNA from 2 species